rnacentral:rRNA from 1 species
ACGCUCGACACCUACGGGAGCAGCAGUAGGGAAUUUUCGUCAAUGGGGGGAACCCUGAACGAGCAAUGCCGCGUGAGUGAAGAAGGUCUUCGGAUCGUAAAGCUCUGUUGUAAGAGAAAAACGGACUCCAUAGGGAAUGAUGGAGGAGUGAUGGUAUCUUACCAGAAAGCCACGGCUAACUACGUGCCAGUAGCCGCCGGUAAGUACUGAGCGGGCGGUCGGCGAACGGACG